rnacentral:rRNA from 1 species
GAUGAACGCUGGCGGCGUGCCUAAUACAUGCAAGUCGAGCGAACGGACGAGAAGCUUGCUUCUCUGAUGUUAGCGGCGGACGGGUGAGUAACACGUGGAUAACCUACCUAUAAGACUGGGAUAACUUCGGGAAACCGGAGCUAAUACCGGAUAAUAUUUUGAACCGCAUGGUUCAAAAGUGAAAGACGGUCUUGCUGUCACUUAUAGAUGGAUCCGCGCUGCAUUAGCUAGUUGGUAAGGUAACGGCUUACCAAGGCAACGAUGCAUAGCCGACCUGAGAGGGUGAUCGGCCACACUGGAACUGAGACACGGUCCAGACUCCUACGGGAGGGAGCAGUAGGGAAUCUUCCGCAAUGGGGGAAAGCCUGACGGAGCAACGCCGCGUGAGUGAUGAAGGUCUUCGGAUCGUAAAACUCUGUUAUUAGGGAAGAACAUAUGUGGAAGUAACUGUGCACAUCUUGACGGUACCUAAUCAGAAAGCCACGGCUAACUACGUG